rnacentral:rRNA from 1 species
CACGUAGGGGGCGAGCGUUGUCCGGAUUUAUUGGGCGUAAAGAGCUCGUAGGCGGCUCGGUAAGUCAACUGUGAAAGCUCCGGGCUCAACUCGGAGAGGCCAGUUGGAUACUGCCGUGGCUAGAGUCCGGUAGGGGAGCGUGGAAUUCCUGGUGUAGCGGUGAAAUGCGCAGAUAUCAGGAGGAACACCAGCGGCGAAGGCGGCGCUCUGGGCCGGAACUGACGCUGAGGAGCGAAAGCGUGGGUAGCAAACAGG